rnacentral:rRNA from 1 species
CCUACGGGAGGCAGCAGUGGGGAAUAUUGGACAAUGGGCGCAAGCCUGAUCCAGCAAUGCCGCGUGAGUGAUGAAGGCCUUAGGGUCGUAAAGCUCUUUUACCAGGGAUGAUAAUGACAGUACCUGGAGAAUAAGCUCCGGCUAACUCCGUGCCAGCAGCCGCGGUAAUACGGAGGGAGCUAGCGUUGUUCGGAAUUACUGGGCGUAAAGCGUACGUAGGCGGUUAUUCAAGUCAGAGGUGAAAGCCCGGGGCUCAACCCCGGAACGGCCUUUGAAACUAGGUAGCUAGAAUCUUGGAGAGGUCAGUGGAAUUCCGAGUGUAGAGGUGAAAUUCGUAGAUAUUCGGAAGAACACCAGUGGCGAAGGCGACUGACUGGACAAGUAUUGACGCUGAGGUACGAAAGCGUGGGGAGCAAACAGGAUUAGAUACCCUGGUAGUCCACGCCGUAAACGAUGAUAACUAGCUGUCCGGGCACUUGGUGCCGUGGGGUGGUCGGCGACGCGUACGACAUUAAGUUAUACCGUCCGUCGGGUAGGUACGGUCGCGAGAUAAACUACAAGAAGUUAGACGGCGUGAGACGNGCCGACGGACGACGACGAGGGAGUAGG